rnacentral:rRNA from 6 species
GUGACUGCGUACCUUUUGUAUAAUGGGUCAGCGACUUAUAUUCUGUAGCAAGGUUAACCGUAUAGGGGAGCCGUAGGGAAACCGAGUCUUAACCGGGCGUUAAGUUGCAGGGUAUAGACCCGAAACCCGGUGAUCUAGCCAUGGGCAGGUUGAAGGUUGGGUAACACUAACUGGAGGACCGAACCGACUAAUGUUGAAAAAUUAGCGGAUGACCUGUGGCUGGGGGUGAAAGGCCAAUCAAACCGGGAGAUAGCUGGUUCUCCCCGAAAGCUAUUUAGGUAGCGCCUCGUGAAUUCAUCUCCGGGGGUAGAGCACUGUUUCGGCUAGGGGGCCAUCCCGGCUUACCAACCCGAUGCAAACUGCGAAUACCGGAGAAUGUUAUCACGGGAGACACACGGCGGGUGCUAACGUCCGUCGUGAAGAGGGAAACAACCCAGACCGCCAGCUAAGGUCCCAAAGUCAUGGUUAAGUGGGAAACGAUGUGGGAAGGCCCAGACAGCCAGGAUGUUGGCUUAGAAGCAGCCAUCAUUUAAAGAAAGCGUAAUAGCUCACUGGUCGAGUCGGCCUGCGCGGAAGAUGUAACGGGGCUAAACCAUGCACCGAAGCUGCGGCAGCGA